ACUCAACGUUAAUUCUUUAAAAAGGGUGAGUUUAAGCUGUAAGAACAAGCCAUCUUAGAAUGGAUCUUCGACCAGUUUGUUAGCCCUAAACUUGUUUUUAAGGAGUUU
rnacentral:sRNA from 1 species